AACAACCGAGGCUCCCGUGCAGUGUACAGAACCUGAACUCAACAAUGCGUUUAUUAAUUUUCCUGAGUCUCAUCUUCGUCGCCUCUGGCCUACUCCGCCCACUGGGAGAUAUUGCAGAAAUUGUGUGUCAUCAGCCGAAGGUGGUAGGGCCUUGCAAAGCCCGUUUCCAUAGGUUCUACUAUAGCUUCGAUAAGAAUGAAUGCAUACCGUUUAUUUACGGCGGUUGUGGGAAGAAUGACAACAACUUUGAAACAAAAGAAGAUUGCUGGUUUCUCUGCGGCCGAUGAAGAUCCGGGAAUGCACCGCACAUGGAAAGGAUCCACUUACUUGACGAAAUGAUCUCAGACGCCUCUCUACAGCUUCAGAGUUUCAGCUGAAGAUGCUUUCAUUCUUAAAAAUUCAACUUUUGAAAUUUAUUCUCAGCAAAAUGUAAUAUCAUUUGAGUAAAUGUUGUACUUAAAA